CAGAGGGUGCAAGCGUUGUUCGGAAUUACUGGGCGUAAAGCGCGCGCAGGCGGAUCCUGUAAGUCGGAAGUGAAAUUUCGGAGCUCAACUCCGAAGCUGCUUCUGAUACUGCGGAUCUGGAGAUCGGUAGAGGUCGGUAGAAUUACAGGUGUAGCGGUGGAAUGCGUAGAUAUCUGUAAGAAUACCCGUGGCGAAGGCGGCCGACUGGGCCGGAUCUGACGCUGAGGCGCGAAAGCGUGGGGAGCGAACAGGAUUAGAUACCCUGGUAGUCCACGCCGUAAACGAUGGGCACUAGGUGCCGGGGGGAGCGACCCCUUCGGUGCCGCAGCUAACGCGAUAAGUGCCCCGCCUGGGGAGUACGGCCGCAAGGCUG
rnacentral:rRNA from 1 species